rnacentral:misc_RNA from 1 species
UACAUUUGCUUAAUUCAUUUAUUCCUUUGCCACCACACUGUCUUAUUGAAUUGAAAAUGUUUAAAAAAUGGAUUAGAGUAUGUUAUAAUAGUUGAUAUGGGAGAAGUGUAAGUAUUUAUGGAGAAUUAAGGCAAAGUUUGUUUGUGAGGCACCUCAGAGAAAGGACCAAUCAGGAGCGAGAAGCUGGCGGCAUCAGUCGGGAGAGGAGCGCAGUCAACGCCAACUGCAGCGGGAAUUACAAUGUUCCCUCAUAUAUCGUGAUAUUAAUGUGUGGCAAGAUGGCAGAGGAGCUUCUCUCCUUAAAGUGGAAUAACCACCAGGCACACUUUGUGGACAUCCUCACUUUCCUGCGGGAACAGGAAAUAUUUGUGGAUGCCACAUUGGCCUGUGGUGGGAAGCUUUAUGCAGCACAUAAAUUUGUUCUCAGUACCUGUAGUGACUAUUUCAAGCAGAUGUUUACAAAAAAUCCUAGUAAACAUCCUAUAGUGUUUAUGAAAGAUGUGACAUCACGUGAUCUAGAAGCACUCUUGGACUUCAUGUAUAAUGGUGAAGUGAAUGUUCCUCAGUCUAGUCUAGGAUCUUUAAUUAAAACAGCAGAAGGACUACAGAUAAAAGGUUUAGCAGUGCCUGAUGAUCCACCUGCUCCUAAAAGAGAACGAGAUAGAGAACGAGAUAAAAGAGAAAGCAAAACACAUUUGGAACACCUUAGUCCCCCUGCCAAAAGACCAAGACCAAGAGAAAGAUCUCCUCCUCAUUCAUCUCCAUCCCAACCUACAGUUUCACACCCAUUAUCUUCACACACCUCAACCACACCUUCAGUGUCCAGAUCUCGAUCCCCAUUACCCCCAGUCCCCUCCGUUGGUGCUUCUCAAGUUGCUAUGCCCCCAGUGGAAGCUACUUUAGAUGAAGACAGUAGAACAAGUAUUCAAAGUGGUAUCAGUGGACUCAGUGAACAAAAUUCAAGCACAACACCUAGUCUAAGUUCCAAACAAGGCAGCAGUCAACCUCAAAUGAACACUGGUGAGGUCACCUCUCAUACAGACCAGUUACCACACAGUCAUACUGGAGAAGAACCCUCCCCUGGACCCUCGGGGCUCCAUAAACCGCAGUCAAAAGAAGAACCAGAAUUUGAAAUUAAACAAGAAGAUGUGGUAGACCUAGGUGAAGAUGAUGAAGGGGAUUGGGGUGUAGAAGGGGAUGGGGGAGGGGGUGACUCCUCUGUUGGGUCAGAAAACCCCCCCAAUUUCCCUGAAGUCAUGUUACCCCACACAGAUGGCUCCAUGCCCCCCACUGGAGACCCAGCAAUGGCCGGGGGCAGCCUGGACGUAGGAAGGGACUUUAGGGGAGGCGCGAACCCGAUGUUUGUGGUAGAGGGUGUAGAAGUGCUGCCUUGUCCGCUGUGUGGCCGGCUACUACAUACUCGUUCGAGGUUCCGAAGUCACCUUGAAUAUUGUCGGCGUGCUGCCAAUCCUCAGUUCGCCUGCCAGACCUGCCACAAGUCCUUCGCUUAUCGUAAGGACCUAGAGAAACAUGUACGCACACACACGGGCGAAAGACCGUACCCAUGCCAUUAUUGUACGUACCGAUUUGCGGACCGUAGCAGUUUGGUGAAGCACCGGCGUCGACACCAUCCUGCGGCCACAUCCUGAGGACAGACGAGAUGGAGUGCCAUUUUGUGACACACAUCAAAAUAAUAAAUGGUGGCUCUGUGGCGGGUGCAGGAAUGGCUCACGACCAUACUCGGCACAGCUCACAGGGCAUCGGGGGAGUAGGGCACUAUGUAUCUUUAUGCAGGGAUGACCGACUACAAGCUGGCCAGUUAAAAAGGACAUGGGCUGGAG